rnacentral:rRNA from 1 species
UACGUAGGGUGCAAGCGUUAAUCGGAAUUACUGGGCGUAAAGCGUGCGCAGGCGGUGAUGUAAGACAGGGGUGAAAUCCCCGGGCUUAACCUGGGAACUGCAUUUGUGACUGCAUCGCUGGAGUGCGGCAGAGGGGGAUGGAAUUCCGCGUGUAGCAGUGAAAUGCGUAGAUAUGCGGAGGAACACCGAUGGCGAAGGCAAUCCCCUGGGCCUGCACUGACGCUGAUGCGCGAAAGCCAGGGGAGCGAACGGG